rnacentral:misc_RNA from 1 species
GAUGAAGAACGUAGCGAAAUGCGAUACGUAAUGUGAAUUGCAGAAUUCAGUGAAUCAUCGAAUCUUUGAACGCACAUUGCGCCCGCCAGCACUCUGGCGGGCAUGCCUGUUCGAGCGUCAUUUCAACCAUCAAGCCCUAGGCUUGCGUUGGAGCCCUGCGGCUGCCGCAGGCCCCUAAAAGCAGUGGCGGGCUCGCUAUCACACCGAGUGCAGUAGAUUACUCUUCGCUCAGGGCGUGUGGCGGGUUCCAGCCGUGAAACCCCCUACUUCUCAAGGUUGACCUCGGAUCAGGUAGGAAUACCCGCUGAACUUAAGCAUAUCAAUAAGCGGAGGA